ACCAACUCCGGUAGCUGCGUUUUAGAACUUGAAAUCGAAAGUACACCAAAUUGCGCAGUUUUCAGGCGGACGGAAGUGCACGAAUAGAAGGAAAGACCAUCGAGAAUAAAGCUCAAAAUCGAGUAUAUCCCUUUGGACUGCUGUCCUGGAUCCCACUCCAGCCCUGAGAGACCCUCUGAAGUUGUGCUGAUCUCAGUCAGAAGCCCAUCCUGGACUUACCUGGACCAUCCCAUUCCAGACUCCUGAGGAGUGGGGCGUGGCCUCUGAAAUGAGUCUCUCUGAGGAGUGUAAGGAGGGGGGCGUGGCCUCUGAAAUGAGUCUGUCUGGGGAGUGUCAGACCCAUGACAGACCUAUGGACCCUGAGAACAAGAGGAUUCAAAUGGAGAGAGCAGAUUCACCUGUACCCAGCUGUGUGUCUAUGAAGAGUGAGCGGUCAAUGGAUCCUCCACUCAAAUUUGGGGGAGAAACAUAUACUGAUCAGAGGACUGAGAUAGAGAGAGCAGACUCACCUGCACCCAGCUGUGUGUCUAUGAAGAGUGAGCGGUCAAUGGAUCCUCCACUCAAAUUUGGGGG